rnacentral:rRNA from 1 species
CGGACCAUUAAUUUAUUAAUGGUUAGUGGCGAAAGGGUUAGUAAUGGACAGGUAACGUGCCCUGUGCUCCGGAAUAGCGUCGUUCGCCUUCGGGCGAGCUUCCGAAAGGGGCGGUAAUACCGGAUAAUAUCAUUUGUCGAUGGACGGAUGUUCAAAGAUUUAUCGGCACUGGAGCGGCCUAUCUCCUAUCAGCUUGUUGGUGAGGUAAUGGCUCACCAAGGCAAUGACGGGUAGCGGGACUGAGAGGUUGGCCCGCAACAUCGGGACUGAGACACUGCCCGGACCUCCACGGAGGGCUGCAGUAACGAAUCUUGCGCAAUGGGCGAAAGCCUGACGCAGCGACGCCGCGUGCAGGAGGAAGUCCCUCGGGAUGUAAACCGCUGUCAGGGGGAAGAAAGUUCACUUCGGUGGAUUGAUCCAACCCAAAGGAAGUCACGGCUAACUUCGUGCCAGCAGCCGCGGUAAGACGAAGGUGGCAAGCGUUGUUCGGUAUCACUGGGCUUAAAGCGUGUGUAGGCGGGAAAGUAAGCGUCCUGUGAAAGCCCCCGGCUUAACCGGGGAAUUGCUCGACGAACUGCCUUUCUUGAGGCAAGUAGGGGUGCAUGGAACUCUUGGUGGAGCGGUGGAAUGCGUAGAUAUCAAGAGGAACGCCAGCGGUGAAAACGGUGCACUGGGCUUGUUCUGACGCUGAGACACGAAAGCGUGGGUAGCGAACGGGAUUAGAUACCCCGGUAGUCCACGCCGUAAACGAUGUCUACUA